UACGGAGGGAGCUAGCGUUGUUCGGAAUUACUGGGCGUAAAGCGCACGUAGGCGGCUUUGUAAGUUAGAGGUGAAAGCCCGGGGCUCAACCCCGGAAUUGCCUUUAAGACUGCAUCGCUUGAAUCCAGGAGAGGUGAGUGGAAUUCCGAGUGUAGAGGUGAAAUUCGUAGAUAUUCGGCGGAACACCAGUGGCGAAGGCGACUCACUGGCCCGAUACUGACGCUGAGGCGCGAAAGCGUGGGGAGCAAACAGG
rnacentral:rRNA from 1 species